CUGCCAAAUUUGCAGCUUAAAAUGUGAGAACGAUGAAGUGCCCAAAAUUGGCCGCCAUAUUGUUGUAAAUUGAGUUGCUUGUUCGAUGUGCAGCCUCACAUACGUAUGUGUAGAUGCCAUUCCGUGAGUUACUUUACAAGCAUGUUUUCGGUUAGUAAUAUUAUAAAGUGUUGUACAUGAAGCUUGCUUGUUAAAAUAAAAGGUUAUUGUGUAAUUUGGCUUGUUCGAAUUUGCAGUUCUCGCCGCAAGAGAACGCUAGAUAAGCUAAGCAAAAUGGCGCUGCCCUUUGUUGUGUAGUGGCUGGAGCUGCAGGAAGCAUCGCGAGUACCGCGAUGCUUUUGUGAUGACCGAUGAAUUAUUUCAACUGUGGUGCCGGCUGACGAAGGACACUGUGCGAUGGCUGUGCGGGGAGCUUCGCCAGGACCUGGAGAGGCGGCGUACAGACACGAGAACAGCCCCGACCGUUGUUGUUGUUUUUGUUGAGCUACAAGUGCUUUGCGCCCUUCGCUUGUUUGCCACCGGCAGUCACCAUGACGUGAUCGCAAACAACGAGGACGUGGCGACGAGCUAGUCCAGUGUGGGUCUCACGAUUCAUGCUGUCAUGGAAGCGAUCAUCGAGCGCCUCGGCAAUAAGUGGAUCGCCCUCCCUGCCAAAAGGAAGGCUUUGUCCACAUAGAUGCAAGAUUUGAAGGCUGCGUUUAGGUGGUCGACGACACGUUCGUGUGCAUAAGUGCGCCGUAUGAAAAGGACGAUGGCAACGAGGCUGCUUACUUUUGCCGCAAGAACUUUUACGCCCUCAGCGUCAUGGUGGUAUGUGACCAACCCUGCCGAUGACUGCCCUCGCACUCGGGGCCCGUGCACGACGCCUUUAUGUGGAAGACAUCCACCGUGAGCCAGGACUGGGCAGUGGACGCCGUGGCCAGGUGAUAGUGCAUACUCGCUUCAACCUUGGCUGCUUAACCCCAUCCCUGGAGCACAUCCUGCAGAAUCCUCUGCUGCCCGAUUCCACCGC